UACGUAGGGUCCGAGCGUUGUCCGGAGUUACUGGGCGUAAAGCGCGCGCAGGCGGCCGUCCAAGCCCGGCGUGAAAGCCCUCGGCUCAACCGAGGAACGUCGUCGGGGACUGGGGGGCUUGAGAGCGGCAGGGGUCGGUGGAAUUCCGUGGUGUAGCGGUGGAAUGCGCAGAUAUCAGGAGGAACACCAAAAAGGCGAAGGCAGCCAACUAUUCGUAUUCCUGACAUUGAGGCAUGAAAGCGUGGGGAGCAAACCGG
rnacentral:rRNA from 1 species